rnacentral:piRNA from 1 species
UGGAGACCUACAUCACAUACAGGAUCACC